rnacentral:pre_miRNA from 1 species
GCUCAUCAAUGUGUGGAUGGUGUUCAGCGCCAGGGAAAGGUGCGUUCACCUGUGUGUGAAUGGUGAACGCACCAGGGACAGGUUUGUUUGGGU